rnacentral:rRNA from 1 species
AGAAUCAACGCUGGCGGCGUGCCUAACACAUGCAAGUCGAACGAGAAAGUGGAGCAAUCCAUUAGUAAAGUGGCGCACGGGUGAGUAACACGUGACUAACCUACCUUUUAGUGGGGGAUAACCUAGGGAAACCUGGGCUAAUACCGCAUAAUACCUACGGGUCAAAGCAGCAAUGCGCUGGAAGAGGGGGUCGCGGCCGAUUAGCUAGUUGGCGGGGUAAUGGCCCACCAAGGCAGUGAUCGGUAUCCGGCCUGAGAGGGCGCACGGACACACUGGAACUGAAACACGGUCCAGACUCCUACGGGAGGCAGCAGUGGGGAAUUUUGCGCAAUGGGGGAAACCCUGACGCAGCAACGCCGCGUGGAGGAUGAAGACCCUUGGGUCGUAAACUCCUUUCGAUCGGGACGAUAAUGACGGUACCGGAAGAAGAAGCCCGGCUAACUUCGCGCCAGCAGCCGC